CUUUUAUGCUAAGUGGUGCAAAUGCUCAUUAAUGGUGUUUGUAUGGAAUUCAAUCAAGAUAGCAGAAAUCCCCUUUGGCAACUCCUUCUUGAUUAGCUUUUAGCUUGCUUGUGUGGUCCAAACUUCUGUUUCCCAUUUAGAGAGACAUCUCCUGCAGAUGUUUGUCAUGUCUCUAUGAUGGCCUUGUAAUGGACUGAUCGGUCCAGGGUGUAUCCUGAUAGGCACCAAACCCUCCUACAACCCUACAAGGAUUAGGCAGAGGCCAAACAUUGGGUGCAGAGGAGAUGCUAUGGUGAAGGACUUGGAAGGUUCUGGAAAAAUUAUCUGGAAUGGGAAAAUGGGGACCACCCCAGGCAGUGUUUGAUCUUGGCAGCAGGGGAACUGAAGCUCCAGAUGGAGGUUAUAGUUGGGUGGUGGAAAGAUCUCCUUAAUCUGGCCACCACGUACUACACAGACAGCAGAGUUCAAGGACCUUAGGGGAGGGGGGAGUCCAACUAUCAAGGGAUCACCAUUCUUAGCCAGGUUGCUGUUGGAGUAGGGGGUAUAUGGUAAUCCAUAGCAAAAAAUGUAUCCAAAUUUUCAGCACAAAGUCAACUUUAUUCCCAGAGCAGGUUGGACUCAGUGAGUGCAGGCUGCUGUCACAGAUCCUGUUUGCAGUGUUCAUGAAAGAUCUCAUGGUGUAGUUGUAGAGAAGAGGGUGUCUGGUAUAGAAAUCUUUGCUUUUUGCAGAUGAUUAGAAACUGACCUUCAGUGAGCACUAGAGUGGUUCACAGUCAAGUGUAAAGCUACUAUAACUCUGAGGCCAGGGUUCUUAACCAGAAAAAGGUGAACUUCCCCAUCUGGCUCAGGGCCCAGUUUCUACUCUUCCUAGAGAAGAAGUUCAAGUACCUUUUCUUUUUUCACAAGUGAUGAUCAUGCGAUGGAGGAAGACACUGAUGGAGGAACUGGGAUGCCAUCUGCUCAAAUGUAGAUAUUGCUUUUAUCCAUAGCAUCCAUCUGUUGACUUCUUUGUUUCUAUCAUUGUCAUGAGACAUGGAUCAUGACUGGGAAAACUGGAUUUCAGAUAUGAGUGGCUGAAAUGGGCAUUAUCUUUAUGGUGGCUAGACUCAGCCUUACAGAUGGGUUGUGGAGCUCCAUCAUCCAGGAGAAACAGCUGCUGAUCCUCCACUUCCAAAAUAGUCAGUUGUGGGAUACAGGCUCCUGACCAGGGUGCCUCUGGGUUUCUGGGCAUUUCCCACUUUAAGGGGGCCUUCUCAUGAUGGGUUCUCAACCAAGAGACUCUUGAACAGGACAGGUUUAAACAAGUUUAUUGAAAUUGUGUUUUUUGGGCAGUGUCAGGAUUCCGUAGCCAGCGGACUUCAGAACCAACACACUCAUCCACAAUGAGCCGAUCCCUGAGGAGAAGUGAGCAAGCCACACCCAGAAGAGGCGGGUGGAAAUAUAUUUCCUUUCUGGCCUGGAAAUAUUUUGAGAUCCCCAGAAUGGGCUGGAAUGUCUCUGGGGGUAGAGAUCCAUCUUUCCCAACUGGACCUAUUACCCAAUCUAGGAUAAACUGAAGGCAGGGGACGAAUGGUUUUAUCCAGGGUAUGACCUUUAAACCUCCAGUAGUAAAAUAAGCUGUGGGUGGACCAUAGGUUCCUGUGACAGAAAUCUGUUUUUAUUUUUUUAACAAUAACUUCCUUGGUUUGGAUCAAGGCAUAAAAUGGUGAAUGCAUGUUCAGAGCUCCAUAAUUCAAGACAAUUAUAGAACUUUGGUCCUAUUUAUGUGUGACAGCAUCUGUGCAUUGGAGAGGAAGGUUUUAGAUUCUACUAUGAUGCUGCAGAAUAGGUCAUCUUGCAAAGAUUUGUGUGGCUAACUGCCACUCCAUGCAACUACCAUGAGUUUAUUAUCUUAGGCCACAAUUGUGCAGAUGAAAUCUUUGAACCAUUGACUGUGCAGUCUCAGUAAAUGCCCCUCAGACCUUGAGAUAAAUAUUUUAAGGUGA